rnacentral:rRNA from 1 species
AUGCUAAAAUCUGAGGUCGAUAUGGAAGACAAUGAAAUGGAACGAAUACAUUGUGAAAUAAUUCAACAAGAGAUUCCUCCAACUCCCGAGCACAUUGGGACGAGCGCUCAAGAGAUAAAAGUUAUUGACAUUAAUGACACAAGCAGUGAUGAGGAGAAAGAAGAUUAUCAUGUGAACAACAAGGAUGCCACCAAGGUGUCUGAAGAAGCACUCACGGAAGAUCAAGCCCAGGCAGAUGCUGGUUUACAGAGGGAACAACACGCGCAGCCAGACACCAAUUUACAAAAGGAAGAUGAAUGGAAAGAUCCACCGAUACAACCAGAUAGACCACCCCCAGAUAAAAACAAUGAAGGCAUAACACUCUCUCCUUUAGAAGUGGAUAACAGGGCAAAGAGUGUACCAACUUGCCAACAACAGCUUUCUAAACAAAACAUGAACCCUGUUGGCGAAGAUCGCAUAUCAGGAACAUCACCAGAGGCAGAACAUGCACAAGAAGAAAAGAAGCAGAAAGAGAAGCAUUUACUAGAAAAGAUACUUCAAAAGAGGAAACGCGAUGCUGAAGUCUCAGUAGAACCGAGCAUCAAAAACAACAACACACAAAAGGACAGACCAACACCUGGGAAGCUUAACGAGCAGGCACAGUUAGGUCACGACAAGAAAAGGGGAAGGCAUCUUGCAAGAGUGCAGACAAGUUCCCCAAAACCCUCGACAAUUCAAUCACAUGAGAUCAGCUCAGCAAACAUAAUCUCAACUAAGAGGCCAUUCAAGCGAGCAAGCAAGGAAAUUCAGAAAGUCAACGCUCCAGCACUUGUUCCAGGAGAUUUCAUUUACAAGGAAAAGGCCAUGCAACUCUAUAGAUAUCUCAUGAGCCGACAAGGAUAG